rfam:Ajellomyces capsulatus H143 genomic scaffold supercont2.19, whole genome shotgun sequence.
UUUCAUGAUGAUUCUUCACAAUUUUAUCACGACGGUCAACAUAGUCUAUACAUUGAUGAUCACCGCCUUUGACAGGGCAAGAUUAUAUCUGAUA